rnacentral:rRNA from 1 species
GACGAACGCUGGCGGCGUGCUUAACACAUGCAAGUCGAACGGAAAGGCCCUGCUUUUGUGGGGUGCUCGAGUGGCGCACGGGUGAGUAACACGUGAGUAACCUGCCCUUGACUUUGGGAUAACUUCAGGAGACUGGGGCUAAUACCGGAUAGGAGCUCCUGCUGCAUGGUGGGGGUUGGAAAGUUUCGGUGGUUGGGGAUGGACUCGCGGCUUAUCGGCUUGUUGGUGGGGUAGUGGCUUACCAAGGCUUUGACGGGUAGCCGGCCUGGGAGGGUGACCGGCCACAUUGGGACUAAGAUACGGCCCAGACUCCUACGUGACGCAGCAGUGGGGAAUAUUGCACAAUGGGCGGAAGCCUGAUGCAGCAACGCCGCGUGCGGGAUGACGGCCUUCGAGUUGUAAACCGCUUUCGCCUGUGACGAAGCGUGAGUGACGGUAAUGAGUAAAGAAGCACCGGCUAACUACGUG